rnacentral:rRNA from 1 species
CACUUCUAAGGAAGGCAGCAGGCGCGCAAAUUACCCAAUCCUGACUCAGGGAGGUAGUGACAAGAAAUAACAAUAAACCGGCUUAUGCCGGUUUAAUUGGAAUGAGUACAAUUUAAACAUCUUAACGAGGAACAAUUGGAGGGCAAGUCUGGUACCAGCAGCCGCGGUAAUUCCAGCUCCAAUAGCGUAUACUAAAGUUGUUGCAGUUAAAAAGCUCGUAGUUGGAUUUCUGUGGGGACGGAGCGGCCGGCCGCACAUCGCGGUUCGAGCUAGCGCUUUCCCUACAUCCUGCCGCGAACCGUGCUACCAUUAAUUUGGUGGCGCCGGAGAUCGGCUCGAUUACUUUGAGAAAAAUAGAGUGUUCAAAGCAGGCCACAUGCCUUGAAUAAGUUAGCAUGGAAUAAUAACUAAGGACUUCGGUUCUAUUUUGUUGGUGUUCGGGACUGAAGUAAUGAUUGAUAGGGACAGUUGGGGCGGUCUGUAUUCCAAAGCGAGAGGUGAAAUUCUUAGACCUUCGGAAGACAAACAGCUGCGAAAGCGUUCCGCAAGGAUGUUCCCUUUGAUCAAGAACGAAAGUUGGGGGAUCGAAGACGAUCAGAUACCGUCGUAGUCUCAACUAUAAACUAUACCAGCUAGGGAUCGGCCAACGUUAUUUCAUACCGACUUGGUCGGCACCUUAUGAGAAAUCAAAGCAUCUGGGUUCCGGGGGGAGUAUGGUCGCAAGGCUGAAACUUAAAGGAAUUGACGGAAGGACACCACCAGCCGUGGAGCCUGUGGCUUAAUUUGACUCAACACGGGAAAACUUACCAGGUCCAGACAUAGUAAGGAUUGACAGAUUGAUAGCUCUUUCUUGAUUCUGUGGGUGGUGGUGCAUGGCCGUUCUUAGUUGGUGGAGUGAUUUGUCUGGUUAAUUCCGUUAACGAACGAGACCCCAGCCUGCUAAAUAGCGCGCGUGAGCUUUGCUCGCGGCGAGCUUCUUAGAGGGACUAUGAUGCGCGAUAGCACAUGGAAGUUUGGGGCAAUAACAGGUCUGUGAUGCCCUUAGAUGUUCUGGGCCGCACACGGGCUACACUGGCGCCUGCAACGAGCAUAUCAGCUGGCCCGAGAGAGUCUUGGCUAAUCUUUUGAACCGGCGCCAUGCUUGGGAUUGACCUUUGCAAUUGUUGGUCAUGCAACGAGGAAUGCCUUGUAAACGCGAGUCAUCAGCUCGCAUUGAAUACGUCCCUGCCCUUUGUACACACCGCCCGUCGCUCCUACCGAUGAAUGUUCCGAUGAAAUUUUCGGAGAGCACCUGUGAACUUGGCUCCGCCUUGCGAACGGGAGGCUCAAAGUCACUUAAAUCUGAACAUUUCGAGG